rnacentral:rRNA from 1 species
UACAUGGGGUGCAAACGUUGCUCGGAAUUAUUGGGCGUAAAGCGCACGUAGGCGGUUUGUUAAGUCGGAUGUGAAAUCCCUCGGCUCAACUGAGGAAGUGCAUCCGAAACUGGCAAGCUUGAGUACGAAAGAGGGUCGCGGAAUUCCCGGUGUAGAGGUGAAAUUCGUAGAUAUCUGGAGGAACACCGGUGGCGAAGGCGGCAUCCUGGACCAACACUGACGCUGAGGAGCGAAAGCCAGGGGAGCAAACGGG